CUCAUGCUGCGAACAAAUUUACUGGUUAGCGACUCCUUGCGGGUAAACCUUUUUGCAGAAAUGUUAAGGAAGUAACACCUUAACUGAUCUUAUACACAGACUGCAUCAAAUGCCUACUGGUAUUUUGAAAAAUGUAUUUUGCAACUAUAAAGGUACAUUUAAAGAAUGCAGGUUAUCUGGUUUAAGAACUUCUACUGGCGGGAAAUCCCAAAGAUAAAAACAAUUUUUUUUGGUAA